CAUUAUGAAGCUUAAUGCGUUAACCUUUUAAGUUAAAGUAUGGGAAUAAUAAUUCCCCAUAGUGA
rnacentral:tRNA from 1 species